rnacentral:lncRNA from 1 species
AAAAAAAAAAUUGUGCCCCUAAUUUCUCCAAGAAUUGAAGUAAGACCAACCCCCUACUUCUAAUUUCUUCAUUCUCUGGGCCAUAAACCCCACCAAGUUUCCAAUUUCUACAAGUAUUGAAGAGAAAAACAAACUCACAAUCUGAAGAUUUAGAAGUGAUGAAGAAGAUGAAGAACAAUUAGAGGUAUUAUGCUUUUUUCAUUAUUUUUUCUCACCGUUGAAAACCAACGGUCAUAUUUGAAAAUCAUUCAAAUUUUAAUAUUUAUUUAAAAAAAUUAAAUUCAAGAAAUUUUGUUUUGUUUGAAGCUGGGUCCCAUUAAAUCAGAGUCUCCAAACCAAUACCUAAAUUUAGAACCAAGUUUGCAUAUUUAGAAAAAAUCUGAAAAUUUAGAGCCCCUUAAAAUUUCUUGUUGGUGUUGGAUUUUGUUGCAGAAUUUCUAUAUUAUGCAGCCCAUUGGAGUUUAGAGACUCCAUUGAAGAUGCCCUAAAUCUCGAGGAAUUACAUUCGUUCGUGGGGCUUGACAAAGAUUUGUAACUUCACUAUCUGUUGUAGAAUUCCAAUGUAACCUUGCGGCGAUGGUCGAUUAGUACAUAAACCAUCUGGAUCUCACUACAACAAAAUUAGGUUUUUAUAGCACAUUGUUAUAGCGUUUUUAUAGUAAAUGCUAUAAUUAGUUUAUAAUACAUAAAGAAACGCUAUAACUGGGCCGCGGAAAAAAAAUCGCUUAACACUCCUUUAAAAAAGACUCCGUCCUCACCCCUGUUCUUCAAACCUCAUUUUUUGAAGGGAAAAAUUCUCAGUUCCAAUCUGACAUCUCUCUCAAAUUGAGGUCGUCAAUUAGCCUGCAUCGUCUUGCCGGAACGUUUCUAGCGGAAUCCUUCUCUUGUCGGACAUUUGAAAUACUCCAUCCGACCUUUCCAAAGUACUAUGUCGGUCUCUCUACAAAUUGAUUUACCGAGACCGUCUUUACGAUUUCCAGCCGUAAUUGGUAACUCCGAUUCUCUGUAUUUUUCUGAAUUUCAGUUUAUUUGCAAUAACCCCAAAUUUCUAUUGUGUUUCUUCCCCACCGAAUAUUAGAUUGCUCUAGGGUUCUUAGAAGAAAAUGAAUACUGAUUAGAUUUUCAAAGUCGUUAUUUCCCUUGAAUACAAAAACUCUUCUACCAAACAAUUUGUAAGUUUAUGAAUAUCUGAAUGUGCGAGGAUUAUUUAUUUGUGAAAUACAAUAUAUUCACAAGCACACACAUAUUUUGGAAUUGUUGGUUUUUACUUUUGAGUUGUUGAAGUUUGCAGAUCUAGCAUAACUGUUAUUUCUCAAAUUGCACGAUAAAUGUUCGAUUAACUUUUUGGUUCAACUUAUAGGACAUAAGAAGGUUUAUGGAAUUAGAUUUGUUGAUGGAUAAUUCUUUCGUGCAAUAUUUCUUGUUCUGAUCAGUGGAGGCAGUUGGAUAAGAGAGAUUGAAGAAAACUUCAAUCUCUAAUGACUCUUCUAUUAAACAAGGAAAAGAAGGGUAAAUGCUUAUUACCUUUUAUUUAAGUUUUAGUAAAACAAUCUCUGUAAGUAUGUGAUAAUUUUAAAUACACUUAUCUUGAAUUUUCAUCUAGACAUAGGACUUUUAAGUUGUAAUGACUGUGUACUGAAGAUGAAAUUCUUCAAAAUGAUUUAGUGAAUCCUAGAUAGGUGUUCAUUGAUUUGGUAUUAGAGAUGGAUAAGGAAAUCAAAAUCUGCACUCAAUUAUUUCAUUUAUCCCAAAUCCUUUUGUUGUUCUUAGUUUUUCUGUUUAUAUAUAGUCUUUUUUGAAGUCUAGAAUUUCAUUAAGUUAAUGUACAGAGUUAAGUGCAAAGUUAGUUUUAUCUUUAUUUUUUAUAUUUUGACCCUUGUUAUGCAAGUUAUGGUUACAUUUUACAGAGAUUUGAACAAAAUGGGAAAUGCAAAUACUACAUUGAUGAAUGUUGAUAAACCAACUGCAUGUGAUCGGCGCUCAAUUGAAAAAAAAAAAGAUGACAGUGUAAUCUCAUAGAAACAAAGUAUUUGUUAUUUCGUUGUCUAAAGCUUAUUCUUGGUGACUCGUGACUCUAUAAUAUGUUGCUAUUGCCUAUCAAUAGUUGUAUAAUUAGCUGUUCAGAUAAUUUAUGGUUGACUAUUCAAAUAUUGCGUCCUAAAAUUUCUAUUUUUCCUCAAUAGAUACCAGAGGAAACAUGAGCUAGAGUGGAAAAUGGGACGUUGAUCUUCUAGUUUUCGCAUUAUUCUUGUCGCAAUGGUUCAAGUGGUUUUCUCCAAAAUAACUCUCAUUUCAUAUCUUUUGUAACCUAGUGAAUACUAUUGAAUCGAAUAUAAUUUAUAUCGGCUUAGGCAUUUCUGUCACUUUCUUUUUCUUUGUUAUCAUAAUAAAAUCUUA